rnacentral:rRNA from 1 species
AACGAACGCUGGCGGCAGGCUUAACACAUGCAAGUCGAACGGGCACCUUCGGGUGUCAGUGGCAGACGGGUGAGUAACGCGUGGGAACGUACCCUUCGGUUCGGAAUAACCCACGGGAAACUUGGGCUAAUACCGGAUACGUCCGUAAGGAGAAAGAUUUAUUGUCGAAGGAUCGGCCCGCGUCGGAUUAGCUAGUUGGUGGGGUAAGUGGCCCACCAACGGCGACGAUCCGUAGCUGGUCUGAGAGGANGAUCAGCCACACUGGGACUGAGACACGGCCCAGACUCC